ACUUUCAUUUUGACAGAAUAUGGUUGAGAUUUGAAGAGCCAACAAUGCACUCGAGUGACCCGAAAGAAGUUGUUAGUAGGAUUGAGGUAGCCGCGCCAUGAUAUCUACAAUAUUCACAUCACUCAUAGUUCGGUCUUCGAUUCCCCUCUCCAAAGGCAGCUUGACUGAAGUUCGGGCAGUGAAACAAGGUCGUAACGAAGGAAACGUCUUUCUCCGCUCCGGCAAGCAGGUUCGCUAGGGACGUUAGCGCCUGGUCCGGCAAUGCGCCCGUUGCCUCCUCUGGUGCUGCUUGCAGUGGCCUGUUUGGUGACAAGCGUGGCUUCAAACGAUGACGUGAAUAAUACGCCGCCAGUAAGGACUGAUACACCAGACACAUUGUCAGCUUCCAAGGUUGUCGACGUGCCACUGAGAUCGGACGGCAAGCUAAGAUGUGACUGCCAAGGGAUAUGGCGUUGUAGGAGUGACAGGGGCAAGCGGCGGAAGGCGCAUUGUGUGGUGCAUUACGGCUGGUGCGCCACCAAAGCCCAGGCCCACCCCUUCGCCGUCGCCGUCAAUUUCGCUAUCAACCUACCCCCGCUGACGAUUCGCUUCUGUACACUGAAUUACAGCGAGUGCGCAGCAGGAUCACGAAAAGAUUCAAAUACGCUCUGCUGUAACAAUCGGCGCUUUUGCAAUGAAGCGUUAAGUCCUAAGUUGGCGAUAAUCUCUCCCCAUUAUACCACGGCAAGUGCAGAGGUCCCGACAACCAGUAUCCAACAGCUGCCUUCCCUGCACACACCAGAAGCCGAUGUGGAAAAUCCGGAAAUGAUCGGAGCAACAACACAACGAUCGCCUGCGGGAAGCGGGGAUGUCAUCACGCUGAACGGGUGACUGUUUCAACGGUUGGGGUACUGUACGUAGAUGAACAACCAUCUUUGCAAGACCCGGUCGCAGUAGACUCGACGAGCAUCCCUGACAUUGUUAUAGCUGCGCACAGUGCAACCAGUUACCCACGCUGCUGUGGCUGCGCCAUUAGUUGCCAUAGUGGCACCAUGGAAACAGCCCAAACAGGUUUUAAACUUCACUCCUCAACUGCAAUGAUUGUACUCAGUGUAUUCACCGUGAUUAUGGGCCAGGACCAACAUUUGGUGGAAUAUAAAUUGUUCUUACAUGA